rnacentral:rRNA from 1 species
GAUGAACGCUGGCGGCGUGCUUAACACAUGCAAGUCGAACGAUGAAGCCCAGCUUGCUGGGUGGAUUAGUGGCGAACGGGUGAGUAACACGUGAGUAACCUGCCCUUAACUCUGGGAUAAGCCUGGGAAACUGGGUCUAAUACCGGAUAGGAGCGUCCACCGCAUGGUGGGUGGUGGAAAGAUUUAUCGGUUUUGGAUGGACUCGCGGCCUAUCAGCUUGUUGGUGAGGUACUGGCUCACAAAGGCGACGACGGGUAGCCGGCCUGAGAGGGGGACCGGCCACACUGGGCCUGGGACACGGCCCAGACUCCUACGGGGGGCAGCGGUGGGGAAUAUUCCACAAUGGGCGCAGGCCUGAUGCAGCGACGCCGCGUGGGGGAUGACGGCCUUCGGGUUGUAAACCUCUUUCAGUAGGGAAGAAGCGAAAGUGACGGUACCUGCAGAAGAAGCACCGGCUAACUACGU